rnacentral:rRNA from 1 species
GUGGGGAAUCUUGCACAAUGGGGGAAACCCUGAUGCAGCGACGCCGCGUGAGCGAUGAAGCCCUUCGGGGUGUAAAGCUCUUUCGGCAGGAACGAUAAUGACGGUACCUGCAGAAGAAGCUGCGGCUAACUACGUGCCAGCAGCCGCGGUAAUACGUAGGCAGCAAGCGUUGUUCGGAGUUACUGGGCGUAAAGAGUGCGUAGGCGGUUCUCUACGUUCGGUGUGAAAUCUCCCGGCUCAACUGGGAGGGUGCGCCGGAAACUGGAGGGCUUGAGUAUGGGAGAGGAAAGCGGAAUUCCUGGUGUAGCGGUGAAAUGCGUAGAUAUCAGGAGGAACACCUGUGGUGUAGACGGCUUUCUGGACCAUGACUGACGCUGAGGCACGAAAGCGUGGGGAGCAAACAGGAUUAGAAACCCGUGUAGUCC